rnacentral:lncRNA from 1 species
CAGAAACUAAACACAGCUGUGUUGCUUGGAGACGUGCAAUGCUGUGGCUUUAAAGGACAAAGGCAGGAACAGUACAGCAGAAGAUGACACAACAAAGAAAGCAGCAAGACUCAC